GUAGGGUGCGAGCGUUAAUCGGAAUUACUGGGCGUAAAGCGUGCGCAGGCGGUUUUGUAAGACAGAUGUGAAAUCCCCGGGCUUAACCUGGGAACUGCAUUUGUGACUGCAAGACUAGAGUGCGGCAGAGGGGGGUAGAAUUCCACGUGUAGCAGUGAAAUGCGUAGAUAUGUGGAGGAAUACCGAUGGCGAAGGCAGCCCCCUGGGUCGACACUGACGCUCAUGCACGAAAGCGUGGGGAGCAAACAGGAUUAGAUACCCUGGUAGUCCACGCCCUAAACGAUGUCAACUAGGUGUUGGGGAAGGAGACUUCUUUAGUACCGCAGCUAACGCGCUAAGUUGACCGCCUGGGGAGUACGGUCGCAAGAUUA
rnacentral:rRNA from 1 species